CAGUCGCCACGGUAAUACGAAGGGGGCUAGCGUUGUUCGGAUUUACUGGGCGUAAAGCGCACGUAGGCGGAUUCUUAAGUCAGAGGUGAAAUCCCAAGGCUCAACCUUGGAACUGCCUUUGAUACUGGGGAUCUUGAGUCCGGGAGAGGUGAGUGGAACUGCGAGUGUAGAGGUGAAAUUCGUAGAUAUUCGCAAGAACACCAGUGGCGAAGGCGGCUCACUGGCCCGGUACUGACGCUGAGGUGCGAAAGCGUGGGGAGCAAACAGGAUUAGAUACCCGAGUAGUCCCUGUCUCUUAUAC
rnacentral:rRNA from 1 species